GACGAACGCUGGCGGCGUGCUUAACACAUGCAAGUCGAACGGAAAGGCCUCUUUCGGGGGGUACUCGAGUGGCGAACGGGUGAGUAACACGUGAGUAACCUGCCCUUGACUUUGGGAUAACUUCAGGAAACUGGGGCUAAUACCGGAUAGGAGCUCCUGCUGCAUGGUGGGGGUUGGAAAGUUUCGGCGGUUGGGGAUGGACUCGCGGCUUAUCAGCUUGUUGGUGGGGUAGUGGCUUACCAGGGCUUUGACGGGUAGCCGGCCUGAGAGGGUGACCGGCCACAUUGGGACUGAGAUACGGCCCAGACUCCUACGGGAGGCAGCAGUGGGGAAUAUUGCACAAUGGGUGGAAGCCGGAUGCAGCAACGCCGUGUGCGGGAUGACGGCCUUCGGGUUGUAAACCGCUUUCGCUCAUGACGAAGCUUUGUGUGACGGUAGUGGGUAAAGAAGCACCGGCUAACUACGUG
rnacentral:rRNA from 1 species